GUGAACGCUGGCGGUAGGCCUAACACAUGCAAGUCGCACGGCAGCACAGUAAGAGCUUGCUCUUACGGGUGGCGAGUGGCGGACGGGUGAGGAAUACAUCGGAAUCUACUUUUUCGUGGGGGAUAACGUAGGGAAACUUACGCUAAUACCGCAUACGACCUACGGGUGAAAGCAGGGGAUCUUCGGACCUUGCGCGAUUGAAUGAGCCGAUGUCGGAUUAGCUAGUUGGCGGGGUAAAGGCCCACCAAGGCGACGAUCCGUAGCUGGUCUGAGAGGAUGAUCAGCCACACUGGAACUGAGACACGGUCCAGACUCCUACGGGAGGCAGCAGUGGGGAAUAUUGGACAAUGGGCGCAAGCCUGAUCCAGCCAUACCGCGUGGGUGAAGAAGGCCUUCGGGUUGUAAAGCCCUUUUGUUGGGAAGGAAAAGCAGCAGGUUAAUACCCCGCUGUUCUGACGGUACCCAAAGAAUAAGCACCGGCUAACUUCGUG
rnacentral:rRNA from 1 species